GUGAGUCAUCGAGUCUUUGAACGCACCUUGCGCCUUUUGGUAUUCCGAAAGGCAUGCCUGUUUGAGUGUCAUGAAAUCUCAAUCCCCCCGGGUUUAUGAUCUGGGCUGGGACUUGGACUUGGGCGUCUUGCCAUUUACUUGGCUCGCCUUAAUGGUGUCAGUGGGACUUUGCUUCCGAUCAUCAGACGUAAUAAGUUUCGUCUGUAUGGGAGGCGUUGGCCUGCUUACAACCCCUUUGUUCUGCCCGUCUGGGUGGACAAUAACUUUUUCGAUCUGACCUCAAAUCAGGUAGGGCUACCCGCUGAACUUAA
rnacentral:rRNA from 1 species